rnacentral:rRNA from 1 species
UACAGAGGUCUCAAGCGUUGUUCGGAUUCAUUGGGCGUAAAGGGUGCGUAGGCGGCGCGGUAAGUCGGGUGUGAAAUUCCUGGGCUCAACCUGGGGACUGCGCUUGAUACGGCAGAGCUUGAGGAUGGAAGAGGGUCGCGGAAUUCCCAGUGUAGAGGUGAAAUUCGUAGAUAUUGGGAAGAACACCGGUGGCGAAGGCGGCGACCUGGUCCAUUACUGACGCUGAGGCGCGACAGCGUGGGGAGCAAACAGG